CCACACGCAUACACACACACACACGUAGUGUGGAGUGUGCGUGCGUGUCACCUCUUCUCUGUGCGGCCCCCUCUCCUCCCCCCACCACACACACACACACUCCCAAGCACCGAUAGAGCUGCUCAGUGCUGCAGACGGGCGUUUGCUUCCUUUUCUCUCUUCGUUUGCUUUGCCACCACGCUGACGGCACCGAUGGUGCAUCGCAGUCGGGCCACCGCCGACCCCUCCUCCGAUCAUGAGGAACGCGUCAACUUCCUCGACGACGACUGUGGCCGCAACGCGCUGCAGUUGGCGGCACGAGGCAGCACGAUCGUUGCCACCCUGCAGCGGCUGGCCGCCCACAUCCCGGCUGAGUUUACGGCCCCGAGUGGGACACCGUAUGCAAGGCUCAUAUUCGACUUCCGCUACUUCAAGCACCAGGAUCAGAUCGAAAAGAGCAUCGCGGACUCAGCAGAGCUGCUAGUUCUGGACAAGGAAUUCUACGACACGCACAUGGAGCUGCUGGAGAAGUUCAUGUCGCUUUUUAGAGGCAUCUACGGCUACGUAACCGAGCUGAACCGCUACGUGCGCGAGAUCCAAGACGGCCAGUACGUGGCCCAGACGCUGGAUACGGUGCUGGAGUCCUUGGAUGGUCGACAACUUCUCUGCGAGCUGUAUCACCUCUACGGUGUGAUGCUGCUCCUGAUGGACCACAAAAUUGGCGGCUUGGUGCGGGAGCGCAUCAUUGUAAGUUAUGUGCGGUACCGAGGCUCUGGGGAGGCACACACGGUGGAGGUGGCGGAGCUGUGUCGAGCCACGAGUCAGGGUGCAGGUGGGACUGCAGCUAUAGCCGGCAGCCCUGUCAAGCGCGCGCCGGUAUCACCAAGGGCUGCCGCUGGUAGUGGCACUGGCAUCAGCAACUACCCGAUCGACUACUUUGAGCGCGUUCCAGUGCAGAAAGGCGUUGUGGCGCGACUGCUGGCCUGCAUUCGGUCCGACGACAUCUACCGCAUGUCCAGCCAUUACCCGAACCCAGACCACCGCAGCGCUGCCAUGGCACUGCAAGGCGGUAUCGCGUUCGUACUCCUCUUCUUCUGCGGCGAUGUGCUGGUGCAGCAGCUGCCGGUAAUGAAGGAGUUGGUGGAGAAGCACUUUGCCGACAACUGGGUCGUUCACUACUACGGCGGGUACACGGCAGAUUUAUCUGUUGCCUGGGCGGCAUUUCCAGCAGCGCGCGCGGCGUUGCAGCGCACUCUUGAGUCGCACAGUGUCACCUAUCACUUGCAGCGCAUGCGUGGCGCGUUGGCACGCAGCACCGAGCGUGUGCAGGCAGUGCUGGAGGAGGGGAUGCUGACAGAGAACUAUGUCUUGGACAAUGUACACGCGUCGCUGUUGCCCAUCAUCACCGAAUCAAACGUGGUGCUGCGCUGGUUUGUGCUCCAAGGGGUGUGCUCUGCCUCGGCGUCAUCGCCGCCGGCGUCUCCGGUUUGCGGCGACCCCGAUGAAGCGAGCCUGCGCGCCGCCGCCUCUGCUGCUGGGCAGGCGGUGCGCGCCAGCUUUGAGAACGAUGAGCUUCUGACGCUCCUGUUGGCAACGGCGCAGCUGGAGCGCCACGUCCACUCGCGCUUCGCGGUAGUGCUGCAGGAGAAGACCGCGCGCUGGACAGGCGCAAGGCGACAGGCGGUGUCGCGCGUGCAGAAGCUGUCGCACUUCUUCUCGGAGGACAACCUGCUCGACACGUCUGUGCACGACGCAGAGCUGGAGCGGUGGUUUGCCGAAGUCGGUGCUCGUAUCGCCAACCUGCACAUGAAGCGGCAGAGCGCGAAGGCGACCCGGCGCAAGUUGCAACGGCUGGUGGCGGCGUUGGAGAACAUACAGGAGUUUGCCCAGGUGAACCAGCAGCUGCAGGUGCUGCAGUACGUCCGGGAGACGUGCGCAGACUUGCACCAGAUGCUGCAUUACCUGAACGCUGAGCGCCGUGUGCUUGGACGACUCGCCACCAUAACUGACUUCAGCUAUGCGUGGGAGCUGCUCUCUGCACACGGAUACCUCGUCCGCGAGCUGCAGGCCCGCAUUCGGCGGCAGCCAGUUGUAGCGGCGCAUAUGCAAGCACUCUUCGCGAAGCUCUCGUCGCUGCUUCACCUGCCGUGCAUCCGCAUCGAUGAAGGCAUCGCCGUCACCGCCGCGAGUGUUCUGGGAGUCGAUGUGCGACUCGAGCGGGCUCUGCAGUUCACCUCUACCUUUUACUCUGAGGAAGUGGUUUCGUUUCUGCGAAGCGUUCUACAGGUGAUUCCGACCUCCAUCUUCGAAGUCCUGAACAAAGUCAUGUACCUCCUCACGAAUGCGUUGCGGGAGUGCCCCAGCAAGCUGCAGCGCGACGAGUGGAAGCACUGGAGCCAGCUCGAGACGCGGGAGCAGCUCUGCGCGUGCACGGCCGACAUAGCCCGCUACGCAGCCGGGCUGCUGGCAAUGGAGGAAACGACAGUCGGUGUCGUGCGCGUCAACCCACAUCGACUCCUGGAAGACGGCAUACGCAAAGAGCUCGUUGAGCACAUUACGCGCGAGCUGCACGCCGGCAUCUGGUUUGACCGGUCCAAGCCGUCCACCGUCGAGGACCUCGACAAGGAGCUGGUGCAGCUGGGGGCCCGGCUGCGUGGUGUGCGGAACUCCUUCGAGUACAUACAGGACUUCGUUAACGUGCACGGGCUUAAAAUUUGGAUGGAGGAGUUUCAGCGCAUUGUCCGCUUCACCCUGCAGAUGGAAUGCAACGCCUUCUGGCCCAAAAAGGUGUACCCGUGGAGCUCGCCCUAUCAAUCCGCGAGCAUCACGAUCCCGUAUUUUGCGCCGGCGAGCCCGAAGGAUGCGUAUAGCUUCCUCGGUCACCUGGUCCAGCAUCUGCUGUACCUGACAGACCCGCGUGAGUCCAUCUACUUUCCUGCCUACGGUGCGUGGUUCACGCGGCGCCGGCUGUGUGAGUGCGUGGGGCCGCGCUUGUUUUCCCGCGUCGCGGAUGCGGUCGAUUGCACUGGGCUAGCCUGCCUCGACGAGCUCCUGAGCUCCAUCGCGGCCAAGGACAUGCAGCUGCUGGUGCAACGGCUUGCCGAGUCGGUGGCGUCGCUGGAGUCGGCGCAACGCGGCGCUGCGCAGGAGGUCUGGGCGCGGUGCAUGCCUACCUCCGGGACUCCUGAGAAAGACGCGUUUUUGAAGGAUUAUGAUCAGCUAGCCUCCAUUCUCGAGGCGUCGCCAGCGGCGCAGGAGGUUGGGGUCGUUGCGAUGCGACUUGGUCGCAUUGCCUUGAUUCGACAGCUGAUUGCCCACCAGCUGCGCUCAGACAGCAAGCAAGACAGCUCUGCGCUGGUUGCGUGCGUGCAGGCAGUCAACAACGCCGUCGUGGCAACCCUGGACAGCCACCUCGCCAAGGACCCGUUCGAGGCGAGGGCCGCCGGCCCUUCGCGAUCGUGCGCAGAGGUGUCGGAGGGGCUGGUGUGCGGAACGGCGCCGCUGCUGCGCUCUGUCGGCCUCACAGACCCGUUCGCGACGGUGUACGAUGUUGCGGACGGUGGCGGCGGUGUCUCGCCCAGUGGUGACAACACAACAGGCGAGUUCAGCUUUGGUGCACCUCCACCUGCGGCAGCCACCGCUGGCAGCGGCGCGGCUCGCCCCGUCGCGGUGCCGACGAAGUUGCCACUACCGCUCUUUGUCCUUCCGCUCUGCGUAGUGGUGCUGCUACACGUGCAGAAGUGUACCUACAGCCCGCGCUUCGACAGCUGCAUUCCGGCGGGGAAGGAAGACGACGUGGACCCCACCAUGCUCGCUGUCGGCGUGGUGACCCUACUGCAGCAGUUCCCGCUGGAGGCCACCCGUCUUCUUUUGCAGCUACUGGCACAGGUGGUGCGCGUGUCCAUCAUCGCCAGGACACCGACACCAAAGGGGAAGGGCAAGGGGGCGGCACCGCCGCUGGUGUGCCGCUGCGCCGACGCUCUCACAAUGUGGAUAGAGGUUCUUCAAGGCUACCUGCCGCGGUAUCCGGAAAAGGAGCGGUCGCAUGGGGUUCCACCCAGUGUUCCUGAUCGCUUCGCGCAGAGUGUGUGAAAGGUGGCGGUGGGGCGGGAGGCGACCACCGAACGUGGUGGACGCGUCCUCCGCAGCCCUAAGAAUUUGCCCAGGUGCCCUCAUGGCCCUAUCCAACAUAUCGUGUUUCUUCUGCUUCCGCUUCGCGGCACGCGGCUGUCUCCGUGCUUGCCUCCGCUUUUCGCAUCCCACUACUUUCUUCGCGUGCAGCCAUUUUGUCCAUCGUGCCCAUGAUAUGCCAGCCCCCCUCCCGACAAGUCAGCAGACAUAUACGCACGUACAACCACGACUAUGCCAAGCAGCAGGGCCGACCAACACCGCUUGGCGCCGCUCAGCCCACCGCAAUGCCACUGCGUACACCGCAGGCUAAGCCCAGAACGACGCUCGACAUCACUGCAACGCCGCGAAUGCCGAAAAACAGCAGGCGGGUGUGUACACCUGUUGAAAUGGUCGACACGAUGCGUAGUGAGCCGGCACAAGCGUGAUCACCAUGGCCACACGUCUCUUCGGCACGGCGCCAGCAACGACCUGUCCGCCGGCGCCACGAGUCCGCCAGUCCGUACCCCCGAUACCAUGGUGAGGUGACCGCACGUCAUCAGGGUUGCGUGCAAUGAGAAGAAAACGGAGUUUGCCGUAGGACAAUACUGUGCUCUUGUGUUGGCACGUCUGUUUAUGUACGUAUCUUGACCAUGAGCGUAUCCCGUGGGAGCCGCGACGGUUCUCGUCUCAGCUCGUCUGCGGCCACUAGAUGGCGAGCAGGUUCGGACGAGCCGCUUAGAAAAGCAGGCUCCACCCUCCCACCACCGCUGCGGUGUGUGUGUGUGUGUGUGUCUGAGCACCUCUGCCAGCUGGCAGGUCUUUUUUUUUCCGUUGAUGUAGACUCUUUCUCUUCCGCGUCUGCAUCGAUGCACCCCUCCUCUCUCUCUGUCCGACGGUUGAACGGGAUGCAACGCCCUCGGUGAUAG
rnacentral:misc_RNA from 1 species